GUCGAUGGACGACUGGCUGCUGGUGGAGCUACAGCCGCUCUCCUCACUCCCUCUCCUGGGGCUGACCGUGGUCCUGCUGAGCCUCUCUCUCCUCAGCCUGGAGGGCAUGGAGUUCAGAGGCAGCAGGCUGAGGGGCUUCAGGGGGGAAUGGUGCUUCAGCCCAGGCAGAACUCCUCCAGCGCUAUGCCUCCCCUCAAUUGGGGCUAACAGCUUGGGGUUCCUGAUGGGGCCUGGACACAGGGCAGGAAAGGACCCCUGGAAAGAGGGUUUUGAAGAUGGCAGGGUUCCUGGUAGGCUUGUCUCGUGUCUCUCAGGUUAUCCAUGGUGCUCUGUAAGCUUAGGGACAGCCCCUUGUCUACAACUCACACACAAAACACAGCCGGAGGUAAGUACUUUCUACGCGCCGCAGGGAGACUACUGCUACUGUUUAUCAACAGUCUCAGACCAAUGGCUAUUAUAGCAUUCAGUCUAACAACGUUUCCAGUGACAAAUCAAAUAACACGGUUUGUUAUAAACUGAGUAGAAUUUCACCAACAUUGCGAUGACCAAAUCAGACAAGGCAGUAUCCCCGCAUAAUAAAAAAAAAUUAUAACCAAUUAAAAAAUAUAUUGUACAUACACCCCGUUACUACACACAGCCUCUUGUGAGGAAAUGACAUAAAGCAUUUACAGUGAGAACAACUAUAGAUCUGUUACCUGUUUCAGAGCUUGUCCAGUCUACCUCAUCUGAGCCUACUCAGGUCAUAUGACCGAGAGGGGCUGUACAUUUCUCUUUGUCUUGUUGUCUUACUGUCUCUUUCACUGUCGGUCUGUCUCUCUCUGUUGGCAUGUCUCUCUCUGUCGGCCUGUCUCUCAGUUUGCCUCUUUCGGUCUGUCUUGCUCUAUACCUCGAUCCGUCUAACUCUCUCUGCUGGCCUCUCUUUCUCACUUUAGUGUCACUUUUUCAUCACUUUUUCUCUCUGACAGGAGUAGGCUCAGCUGGGGUUCUAUGGUCUUCGUGAGGGGAGUGAUUUAGGACUAUGACCCAAUCAGCUUGGGGCCUGGCAUGGCUGGCCUUUGUGGGAUGGGUCCACCCCCCAGUCUAUGAGAAAAGGGAUGGGCUCUUACUAUUUGGGUGGACUUGAGCCUACAAGGCACGCAGACCAGAGAAACAAGAGUCACUGUCCAAGAUCACCCCGCCUACUGUUUGUAAACGUUUCCAAUAAGGAUUGGAGGAACAUGGCUUACCCUGACUGUUGUCUUCAUUAUGGGGUAAUAAAGGGACACGUUUGGAGGACUCCAGUGCAUCCUACAAAUAAAGAGACACAGACAAGCAUGAAUUGUGGAAAGGGUCCAUAAUGUUGCUGUUGUUGCACAAGCUUUCUUACGAUUUUGAAUUGAGGCCAUCGGGAGGGUUGUUGUGUACAACUGACAUUUCACUUGGAGGCUACAAGAAAUUAGAGCUGCUUCUUUGAUUAACGACACGUGGGGCGCUAAAAUGUGAAGUGUCUUUUUGUAGCUUCACAUUAGCACACGGUCUGUGGUGACUGUUUGCCCCUGGUGUGGCCUCUGUCAACCAUCUGCUCUUCCUCUAUUCAAUCAGCGGGUUGGGUUAUUAGAUGUCAGACAUUAGCCAGCUGGGUUCCCGUCCUCAGUCUCACAUAUGAAGUAGCUAAGAGUCAGCCUUUCGGAACACUGCCAACCGGCCAAUUACAAUAAUGUAAUAUUCAGGCCCUAUUGUUUUAGGGAAGGAGCCAGUAUUGGAUGAAGACACUUGAUUUGAUUUCUGGUUUUAUGGAUGUAGAGAAUUGUUACAAAUAUUAUUCCUACAAAACUCAUGAAUGGAAUGGUAAAUGACAAGUUUUGGAAAACAAGAAUGUGCCCCGAACAAUGAUCCACAAACUAGGUUCGCUUGCAUACAAGACUUCCGCCGGUUGUUGUAAUGUUUGAAAUUUUUGUCCAAUACACAGUUUUGCCUUUACAUAUUUCACAUCAGAUGUACUUUGUUAGCAGAACAAAAUCCCACCAAGAUAUGUUUCCUACUCCCCACUAUUGAACAGACGUGGACAUUUAUUACAUGACUGAAGGACGGAACAUUCACUUACCUCUAUGCUGGCCGCAGACUGAAUGAGGAAGCCAGGGGUCAGAGAGGUAGAGGGGCUGGGAAAGGUCACUUGCAAUUCAUCAUCAAGGUGAAAGAACCGCAUGUCCAGGGUCACUGUUGACCAGGGCAGAAUAAGACGGAUGUGACUAUAAAAAUGAACCAAGGACCUCUCUCACACAAACACGCACACACACAAACUCUAAGCCUAUCAGGAAUUUACCAGCAUUGCCCAUGAUGGCUGGCUUUGACCAUUCCUCAGAGCUCAGGAAAACAUUUGAUUGUGCGUGAUGUGCAAACUGCAUUCACUGAUCAAUAUGAAUUAAGUCAAAACUGUAUUGCAUCUCAGUGUGGAUACGUUAGCCACAUGUUUUUCUUUUUUUAGGAAAUGUUUGAUAGGUGACAUGUAAAUCACCUGAGGACUAAGAGGUCAUUGGAAUGCGGGUAACAAAUCAUCUAUAGAAAAGUAUUUCCAGACAAUGUAUUUUUUUAAGACUAAAUCAAUGUCGAGAACCUAUAGAAUAUAUCAAACCAUGCCAACAUUCUACCUUGUCUAAAGUUUGCUGGCCCCGAUAAUGUUAUGCUAGAUCUUCGAACUCCCUCUGAUUUUAAAUCUAGAACUGGUCUUGGCAUCUUUCAUAUAAAUGUACAUAGCCUGUUGUCCAAAACUGAUGGAGCUAGGACUUGGGCUAAAUCAACGGAUGCUGAUAUAUAAUUGUAUUUUCUGAAACCUGGCUCGGGAAGUCUAUAAUUGAUGAUAAUAUUUGUAUAAAUCUAUACAAUGUAUAUCGCACUGAUAGAGUGAAGAAAGAAAGGUCAUACUUAUGUAUAUCACUGCCAUUCUAGCCCUUGUUUAUUUUGUAUUGUAUCAUGUUUAUUUUGUCCUUCACAUUCAAAUACUGUAAAUUUACGAUAUCUGUUGCUGGACACGUUUUCUUGCACUAUUUGAUUUAGUACAUUUUUUAUUUCAAUUCAUUUGCACAUUUAUUUUGUAUGCUUGCUGUAUAAUACAUGUUUUUUUAUAUGCAU
rnacentral:lncRNA from 1 species